rnacentral:snRNA from 1 species
CCGGAUCCCAUCAGAACUCCG